rnacentral:misc_RNA from 1 species
AACAUCGCGCACCUGCGGGAACCUGCGGAGGGAUCAUCAGAGUGAUCUGUGUGUGUGUGGGGACUGUUUACGCAGUGCCCCCCACCACACCAAUCUUGUGUGAACUGUUGUUUUGUGGUGUGUGUUGGUGUGUGAUGUGUGUGAUGCACUCCCACCAACAUCACAAACAAACUCUCUUUCAACCUUUGUCUAAACAUAUGUACCCACAAUUCAAAACAACUUUUAACAACGGAUCUCAGA